CUCUGCAGCUAUGACACUAGAUCACUAAUAAGGGUAGGUGAGAAGGAAAGGGAAGAGGAAAAGAAAAUAACAGCCAUUUAUUCUGAUAAACCCUCAACAUGUGACACCUGGGUUCCUUCCAGGCAUUUGCUGUGAAAAUAGGUGGUCCUGGUUCUCAGUAGUCCCAAAGCCUCUAGUCCGGAUGGGGGUAGAAUUGCCGCAGAUGCGGAAUCCACUAACAGUCGAGGAAGCUUAUCUUCCUGGAAGCCUUCAGCCUCCCACUCCCACCUCUGCCCCAUUCUGUUUGCUUCCUCCCUGUCUCAGCUUCUGCUUCUCUCCUUUUUAUAACCUGCUGCUAAGAAAAGUCUGAAAACUUGAAUUAUAAAUACAUAAUAUAUCAAGUAUUGCCUGAAAUAGAGAUUUGAAACCUAAAAGGGAGGAAAGAAAAGAAGCAUCUUGAAUUCUAGGAGAAGCAGUCCUGGGUGCCGCGUCCCCAAGGACUGGCUGCAGCUUCUCUCGGCCGCGGUUGCCUCAUUUAUAACAUGGGGAUACCCAUCCAUACCAACCAUGGUGCAGGGGAUUGCACCAGAUCAUUCUCACAUCUCUUCCAGCUCUGAAGAAAUGGAGGUGAACAGAGGAACAGCCACUCCCAGCAAGCAAGGGAAGAAGAAUCUUGAAAGCCUGUGACUUCACAGAGACUUCUUGAUUGAUGCCCCUGAAAUCAGCCUGCCAAGUGUGGCCUCUGCAGCAUAAAUACAAGGAGUCUGAUGACACAAGACGGCGUCUGAUGAUAGUUCUGUCACCCUCAGCCAUAUUAUAAUUCCAUGUCCUCGUAGUCACCCUGCCAUAAUCCCACCAUUUCCUGCAAACACAGCUUCUCCUGCCUGAUGAAGUCUUACCUAUCCUUUAAGACCUAGCUCCGACCGGGUGCAGUGGCUCAUGCCUGUAAUCCCUGCACUUUGGGAGGCCGAGGCAAGUGAAUCACUUGAGCCCAAGGAGUUCUGAGACCAGCAUAGGCAAUAUGGCAAAACCCCAGCUCUACAAAAAAAAAAAAAAAAAAAAUUAGUUGGGCAUGGUGGUGCACGCCUGUAGUCCCAACUACUUGGGAGGCUGAGGUGGGAGGAUUGCUUGAGCCCAGGAGAUCAAGACUGCAGUGAGCUGAGAUCAUGCCACUGCACUCCAGCCUGGGUGACAUAGUGAGACACCAUCUCAAAAAAAAAAAAAAAAAAAAAAAAGGUCCACACUCUGGGGAGCCUUUCCUGACUAUCCUGAGGAUACAGGGGAUGCUUCCUCUGUGGGUUCCCACAGGAUCGACCCACACUUAGAUCCCUCACCACUUUACUCUGCCAUUUACUCCCCUCCCUUGACCAUCAGUCUUUGAGGAAAGGGACUUUGCCUUCUUCAUCGUUGCCUGGCACAAUUCUUGCUUUUCCUACCUUGAAUGAAAAGAGAUGAUAAUCCUAUGUAAUGACAAAUGACUUAGAUUUUCUCAUUUAACCCUCACACAACUCUGGGAGAAUGAACACAGCUGAAGUGGCUUGUCCAGGUCAUUUUGUAAGUGGUGGAGCUGUAUGAUCUUGCCCACUUCAGAGACCAUAAGCUCUAGCUUGCAGCUGUCCCUGACUGCCUUCUGCCAGGUGAUGGGAAGCUUCUCACAAAGGCAGUGUCUACCUCAGCUUCUUUCUCCUUUCUCUCCCAUCAAACUCAAAUGUGAGGCAGCUAAGAAAGUUGAGUCAGCUCCUGAGAAAAUUCAGGUUUUAAUAACCUGCCUUCCUUAGGUGCUUGUCCAACUCCUCUGGCAAGGACCCUUCUUGGAGGGCUGAGAUUGUUUUCCUGGAGGCCACCAGACUUCAGGCUUCUAACCUCAGAGCCUGGGUGCUUUGUCUUACAGCAUGGUCUUUCUGAGCUGCUGGAGACCUCUCAGGUGUGAACCUAGUCUAAGCCACCAUAUAACUGGGGUUCCAAAGGCUUAUCUCUGUUGUUAUGAAUCAUCCACUGGAUACAUAGAGGGAUGAUAACUGGUUGCGGAUCAUUAGGUUCCUGUCCCUAGAGUUGUGUGUCCCAAAGCAAGCCACUCAGCAUUCUGGACCUCAGGUUUUUUUCUGUCUUCCUCUUUCUUUCUUUCUUUCUUUCUCUUUCUUUCUUUCUUUCUUUCUUUCUUUCUUUCUUUCUUUCUUUCUUUUUUCUUUCUCUCUUUCUCUCUCUCUUUCUUUCUCUCUUUCUUUCUUUCUUUCUUUCUCUUUCUUCCUUCCUUCCUUUCUUUCUUUCUUUCUUUCU
rnacentral:lncRNA from 1 species